AACACCUGGAAAUCCUGUUAAAAUGCAGAUUCUGAUUCCGAGUUCUGGGAUGGUUUGGGAUUCCGCAUUUCUAACAAGUUCCCAGGUGAUGCUAC
rnacentral:pre_miRNA from 1 species